AUCUAUGGUCAUGCCACCCUGAAUGUGCCCGAUGUGGUCUGAUCUCGGAAGCUAGGCAGAGUUAGGCCUGGUUAGUACUUGGAUGGGAGACCACCUCAGAAUACCAGGUGCUGUAGGUG
rnacentral:rRNA from 1 species